GAGAGAGAGAAAGAGAGAGAAACCUAGUGAGAUUUGUGGAGAGAGGAAGGCUAGACUUGUUUUUCUCGUUCUUGCAUAACUCCAGAAGGUGGGACAGACUGGUGUAAACAGAGCAGGAUGUGACAGUAGACAGACAAGGCUGUUGGACUGGGCUGGAGGAAUACACGCGGACACACACCAAAAGAUGUCUGGGACACCACCCCCAGUACGUUCUAGGAAGCCAUCAGGUGUUAGAGUCAUGCCCCAUGAUGGUCAACUUCCUUCGCAUGGCUACGCAAAGGGGUUCAAAGUGAAUGGGGCAAGUAGUGAGCCAAAAUACACAUCUCGAGGACAUGCAGAGAGAGAGGUGGAGAUCCUAAACCACUGUUUUGAUGACGUGGAGCGCUUCAUGGGACGCCUGCAGCAGGCUGCUGAGGCUCAGGUUGCAUCCUCAAC